UGGUUUGAUUCUGGCUCAGAGUGAACGCUGGCGGCGUGCCUAAUACAUGCAAGUCGAACGAUGAAGCUCUAGCUUGCUAGAGUGGAUUAGUGGCGCACGGGUGAGUAAUGCAUAGAUAACAUGCCCUUUAGUCUAGGAUAGCCAUUGGAAACGAUGAUUAAUACUGGAUACUCCUUACGAGGGAAAGUUUUUCGCUAAAGGAUUGGUCUAUGUCCUAUCAGCUUGUUGGUGAGGUAAUGGCUCACCAAGGCUAUGACGGGUAUCCGGCCUGAGAGGGUGAACGGACACACUGGAACUGAGACACGGUCCAGACUCCUACGGGAGGCAGCAGUAGGGAAUAUUGCUCAAUGGGGGAAACCCUGAAGCAGCAACGCCGCGUGGAGGAUGAAGGUUUUCGGAUUGUAAACUCCUUUUGUUAGAGAAGAUAAUGACGGUAUCUAACGAAUAAGCACCGGCUAACUCCGUGCCAGCAGCCGCGGUAAUACGGAGGGUGCAAGCGUUACUCGGAAUCACUGGGCGUAAAGAGCGCGUAGGCGGGAUAGCAAGUCAGAUGUGAAAUCCUAUGGCUUAACCAUAGAACUGCAUUUGAAACUGUUAUUCUAGAGUAUGGGAGAGGUAGGUGGAAUUCUUGGUGUAGGGGUAAAAUCCGUAGAGAUCAAGAGGAAUACUCAUUGCGAAGGCGACCUGCUAGAACAUAACUGACGCUGAUGCGCGAAAGCGUGGGGAGCAAACAGGAUUAGAUACCCUGGUAGUCCACGCCCUAAACGAUGAAUGCUAGUUGUUGUGGAGCUUGUCUCUGCAGUAAUGCAGCUAACGCAUUAAGCAUUCCGCCUGGGGAGUACGGUCGCAAGAUUAAAACUCAAAGGAAUAGACGGGGACCCGCACAAGCGGUGGAGCAUGUGGUUUAAUUCGAAGAUACACGAAGAACCUUACCUAGGCUUGACAUUGAUAGAAUCCGCUAGAGAUAGUGGAGUGCUAGCUUGCUAGAACUUGAAAACAGGUGCUGCACGGCUGUCGUCAGCUCGUGUCGUGAGAUGUUGGGUUAAGUCCCGCAACGAGCGCAACCCUCGUCCUUAGUUGCUAACUAUUCGGUAGAGCACUCUAAGGAGACUGCCUUCGCAAGGAGGAGGAAGGUGAGGAUGACGUCAAGUCAUCAUGGCCCUUACGCCUAGGGCUACACACGUGCUACAAUGGGAAGCACAAAGAGAUGCAAUAUUGUGAAAUGGAGCAAAUCUAUAAAACUUCUCUCAGUUCGGAUUGUAGUCUGCAACUCGACUACAUGAAGCUGGAAUCGCUAGUAAUCGUAAAUCAGCUAUGUUACGGUGAAUACGUUCCCGGGUCUUGUACUCACCGCCCGUCACACCAUGGGAGUUGUAUUCGCCUUAAGUCGGAAUGCCAAACUGGCUACCGCCCACGGCGGAUGCAGCGACUGGGGUGAAGUCGUAACAAGGUACCC
rnacentral:rRNA from 1 species